UUUCCAGAACCAGUGGGACACUACAUCAGAGCUGAGGAAAGGCAGUGGAAGAUGUGCCUGCAAACGCAUGCCCUGAAUCCAGCAAGACUCCCUCAAUUCUGCAAGGAAUGUUCUGAGGACCAAGCCUGCGCCUAGAUCACACAUGACAAUGACCACACAGAUCAUACAUGCUUCAGAGGAAAGUCCUGGUAGGUGAAUGUGUAUCAGAGAAGAACCCAAGGCCAAAGAAACCACAGAGAGGAAGAGGGGACCGUCCUCCAGCCCUGAUGAAGCCAGAAAGGAAAGCAUCAUUGGUAGAGCAGACUACUCUGGGUUUUUCCCCAGGUGCUGAAAUUACAUCUGUACACCCCCCUCCCCAGCCAACUCCAAGUUCAUGAGGUGCUGGGGAUGGAUCCCAGAGCAUGCUAGGCAAGCACUCUAUCAGCUGAGCCGCGUCUUUGGUGCCCCAGGACCUGGUGACAGGACCAUGACAGGAGCCACAGUUCCACGGAGAAAUGACUGAUGAUUCCACGGAGGAUUGACUGAUGCUCAGAGCUGAGCAAGUCAUGCAUAUGACGAGCCUGGAGUGUCUGUGCCAGAGGGGGCCGAAGCCCAGAAACAGCAAGUGAACACCACACUGUCGGGCAAUAGAAAGGCAUGGAGGCUGUUAAGGAGACACAGAGUCCAGCGCUGGGGUAACACGAGCAGCACAAAGUAUUUCCAUAUCAUGUAAUUCACGUAGAGUAGAGUCCGUGCCAAGGUCAUAGACAGGGUUCAUGAGACCUUGCUCUUGGUGGUGAGUGCCAAGCCCCAGUCUGAGUGUGUACCUGGAAACUCCUCCGGCAGGGGCCAGGUCUACAACCCAGUGCUGAGUUGGGCUGGCUAUGGGCUUCUUUACGUGCAAUGAAAAUUGCGCUCAUGCACGGUCUUUUUCCCAAUGAGCAGGACCCCAGAUGACUAAGAAGAAAACAAACAAACAAACAAACAAAAAAAAAAACCCCAGUGGAUCCCAGCAAGUGCUGGUGCAGAACAUUCUGCCACUGUAUGGCCAAGGUCGUCAGAAACAACUCUAGUGUGAGAAACCACCACUGCCAAGAAGGCCCUAAGGUGUGGAUCACCUGCAAUGAGGCUCCUGAAUGGGAUCUUGGCACAGAAGAAGUUGCCAGGUUAGCUCUGCUGCCAAGGCCAGGCGAAUGCUGGCAGCUCCCCAGGGAAGCAUUUUAAUCUCCAGCAUCAAGCCAGACCCCUCUUCCAUCCGCCAUCUGCCUGUCUCCAGCCACCUCCAUCCAGGGAAACCAGGAUGGGGCCGAGGGCCUAAUCGGAUCACAGCUCCGAGCUGUGCACUAAUCAGAUUGCUCUGCAGCCUGGCCCUGCCAGGGGAGCCUUCAGACUCCGGUCUCAGCCUGCUCAGCGCGCACACCCUCCUCCCACGUCAACUGGAAAGGAGUGGAGGGCAGAUCAUCCUCCACAGUUGGAGAGUCUUCCCUGGCGAUGUGAAACCACAUGGACCAUCCUCCUCCCAGGUCCUGUUCUGGAGAAGGCAAGCCACUUCCACCAGCAGGGCUGCUUUGUGGUUUGUGGCUGGAAGUUCCUUCUCUUUCUUGGAUGGUCCUGUAGAACGGAUGAGAAGUUUGAAAAUGCCAAAGCUACCUUGAUACUAUAAGGGAGGCUCCCCCAAGGCUCUGUCUCAAGACCCAGCUAUACCACUCCUGGACAUACACCCAAAAGAUGUUCUACCGCACAAUAAGGACAUUUGCUCAACUAUAUUCAGAGAGGCUUUGUUUGUACUAGCCAGAAACUGGAAACGACCCAGAUGUCCCUCAACUGCGGAAUGCACAAAGAAACUGUGGUCCAUCUACACAAUGGAAUACUACUCAGCCAUUGAAAACAAGGACAUCAUGAAAUUUGCAGGCAAGUGGAGGGAUCUGGAAAAGAUCAUCCUGGAGAGUGCUUCUCAAUGGCUAAUGUCCUAAUGGCUCUUAGACAGCAAAGCCCA